AAGACCCAAAUAUCCAAAGUUGCAGAGCCGGCAAUUUGGAAGCUGCGCUUACACCGUUCACACUGCCGCGAAGUGGUGCGACAAGCGCGUACGCGUACAAAACACCGCCGUAAUGCUAUAUCGCUACCAUACAACAGAGAGGGAGCUGCCUGUCUCAAAAAUGGCUACAGAGAUAGGAACUGCCGAUGGUAGAGAAUCUGACAUUAAAAAACGCUGUAGAGCUGGAUGAACACAGCAGGCCAAGAAGCAUCAGAAGAGCAGGAAAACUGACGUUUCGGGUUGAGACCCUUUCUCUCAUGCUGUCUCAAAGAUGGCAUUGUUCAUACAUUCACAACACGGAAAUAAGCUCCUCAAGGUCCCCACUCAUGAAAAUGUGCAUCAAAAAGACAGCCAUCCAUCGUAUCAGUUUGAUGAGGAUUUGUAGCCGCGGUUGCCUUGCUAGCGAGUGGAUACUAACCUCAAGCUUUGGAGCAAAGUGAUUAGUGUAUUGAUCAGAGCAUCUGAGAUGGUGCUGCUGCCAACAACAUUCACGAUGUGGAGGGGCCAGUGUUGGACUGAGAUGGACAAGGCCGCCAUGUCAUGGCACCCUCUGCAGGACAUGUCAGAUCUUUGACAUGGACACUGUCAUCACACAUGGGAACACCACCCACCAUGUGACGCAGUCAAUAUUAUUUAUCUCAUACACUGCAGGCAAGGAUACUCCGAGGCAUGGUAUAUUGGCGAAUCCUUGGAGAUGCUAUUUCAGUGGAUGAAUGGACACUGUGCAACAAUUGCCAGACAGUGAUGUUCCUUCCAAGUGGGGGAACACGUCAGCGGUCAAGGACAUUCAGCUUCUGAUCUUUGGAUAAACAUCUUCCAAAGUGGACUUUGGGAUACAAAACAGCGCAGAGUUGCCAAGCAGAGGCUGAUAGCCAAGUUCGGUCCCAACGAGAACGGCCUCAACCGUGAUCUUGGAUUCAUGUCAUACUACAGGUUGCAUUCCCACCUCAAUUUGCAUCAUCGGUAAACUUAAACGCCUUAAUAUAAUAAACGCAAAAUAUUGCAGAUGCUGGAAUCUGAAAGAAGAACAGAAAGUGCUGGAGAAACUCAGCACAUCUGGCGGCAUGCUGGAUGGAGGACUGAGAGGGAGGACUCAAAUAGAUGAGUUGGAAUAAUUUGAAAGGGUAGUUUGGUUAUAACACUUUGAUGCCUUCUUCUGCAAAAGAAAAGCUGUUUUUACAAAACUGGACAGAAAUAUGAAUAAAUUAUUUAAAAG